rnacentral:rRNA from 1 species
AGAUUGAACGCUGGCGGCAUGCCUAACACAUGCAAGUCGAACGGUAACAGGCCGCAAGGGUGCUGACGAGUGGCGGACGGGUGAGGAAUACAUAGGAAUCUGCCCUAUUGUGGGGGGAUAACGUAGGGAAACUUACGCUAAUACCGCAUAAGACCGGAAGGUGAAAGUGGGGGGACCGCAAGGCCUCACGCGAUUGGAUGAGCCUAUGUCGGAUUAGCUAGUUGGUAGGGUAAAGGCCUACCAAGGCGACGAUCCGUAGCUGGUCUGAGAGGAUGAUCAGCCACACUGGGACUGAGACACGGCCAGACUCCUACGGGAGCAGCAGUGGGAAUAUUGGACAAGUGGGGGCAACCCUGAUCCAGCAAUGCCGCGUGUGUGAAGAGGCCUCGGUUGUAAGCACUUUUGCCGGUAACGAAACGCGCGUCGGUGAAUACCCGGUGAACGUGACGGUACCGGAAGAAUAAGACACCGCUAACUCGUGCCAGCAGCCGC